CCUACGGGUGGCAGCAGUGGGGAAUAUUGCGCAAUGGGCGAAAGCCUGACGCAGCGACGCCGCGUGAGGGAUGAAGGUCUUCGGAGCGUAAACCUCUGUCAGCAGGGAAGAACGGUCACUGUGCUAAUCAGCAGUGAAUUGACGGUACCUGCAAAGGAAGCACCGGCUAACUCCGUGCCAGCAGCCGCGGUAAUACGGAGGGUGCGAGCGUUAAUCGGAAUUACUGGGUUUAAAGGGUGCGUAGGCUGUGAGGUAAGUCAGCGGUGAAAUGCCCCCGCUCAACGGGGUGAAGUGCCAUUGAUACUGGCUUGCUGGAAUGCGGAUGCCGUGGGAGGAAUGUGUGGUGUAGCGGUGAAAUGCAUAGAUAUCACACAGAACACCGAUUGCGAAGGCAUCUAACGAAUCCGCGAUUGACGCUGAUGCACGAAAGCGUGGGUAUCAAACAGGAUUAGAUACCCUAGUAGUC
rnacentral:rRNA from 1 species